CAAGGAGGCAGAGUGGGACCCGGCCCUUGUGGGGGGCAGAUUCUUGCCUGCACAGGGGGGCGGGUCUCGGAUCUCCUGUUCUGAGGCCCCAGGGAGCUGGGGUUUGGGUGCAUCCCUCAGCAUCUGGUCCCCAGUCUCCUCAUCCGUUGGGUGGGCAUAAGGACUACUCGGCAGGCUGCUGAGACCACGCAAGGUCAUGAGAGCAAAGCUCCUGUCUGCACAGUGCCCGGUCCCCCUGGUCAACGGCUCAGCGCUCAUCACUGGUGUCCAGUGCCUGGAGGGCCUCAGUGGAAGGAACACGUGAGUGCAUCUCCCCGGGGGCCCAGCGCAGCCUCACGCAGGAUUAAAAGAACCGUCCAUAAAAGAACCAUUAAAAGGAUCAUCUUGAGCCACAUCUAGAACACCUGGGAA